AAAGGAGUCUGAUUCAAAGCCCAUGGACGACAAUGGAAGUCUUUCCAUUGACUUCCAUGGUCUUUGGAUCAGGCCCUUAUUUU
rnacentral:pre_miRNA from 1 species